UGGGGAAUAUUGCACAAUGGGCGCAAGCCUGAUGCAGCCAUGCCGCGUGUAUGAAGAAGGCCUUCGGGUUGUAAAGUACUUUCAGCGGGGAGGAAGGGAGUAAAGUUAAUACCUUUGCUCAUUGACGUUACCUGCAGAAGAAGCACCGGCUAACUCCGUGCCAGCAGCCGCGGUAAUACGGAGGGUGCAAGCGUUAAUCGAAAUUACUGGGCGUAAAGCGCACGCAGGCGGUUUGUUAAGUCAGAUGUGAAAUCCCCGGGCUCAACCUGGGAACUGCAUCUGAUACUGACAAGCUUGCGUCUCGUAGAGGGGGGUAGAAUUCCAGGUGUAGCGGUGAAAUGCGUAGAGAUCUGGAGGAAUACCGGUGGCGAAGGCGGCCCCCUGGACGAAGACUGACGCUCAGGUGCGAAAGCGUGGGGAGCAAACAGG
rnacentral:rRNA from 1 species